UGACGGCGCGCAACGAUGCCGGCUCGGGUCGUCAGGAGUACGUGUUUGCCACGCGUACGUCAACCGGUGAGCUGCUGAGGUCGGAGCCAGCGCCGGACGGGUUGCGGUACUCGCGCCUACAUGUCAUCGUGCCUGUGGCAUCGGGCGUCGUGUCCACCAUCGCUGUGUGCGUGUGCGCCUGUGUGCUGCUGCGCAGGCGCAAGACGGCCGGGAGCGGCGCCAAGAGCCUCGCCGAGCUGCAGAACCUGAGGAACAGCAAGCAGCAGGUCGGGCCCGAG